AUCACUUUCACCAAACUGCUUUGCCUCACCUAUGAAUCAGAUCUCUGAGGAGUAUGGAUAAGAGCCUGUACAUUUUGCAGAUAUGCCAUAUCCAACUUUUGGACUACUUCUACUCUCAUGUGCUGGGCAGACUUUCUAAAUGACUGUUUUGAUGGAUGGAUAUUCCAAAGCUUCCGAGUUUGGGAAGAGGCCCCUUUUCCUCCUCCGAUGUAUCUAGACCAGAUGUAGCACAGGGACCUCGUGGCGCAAAAGGAGCUCUCUCCGGCUGACGCAAAGCUGCUGCGGGUUUCCAUUGCUGGCAAGCUCUGCUACAACAGAGGGAGUUCAGUCACUUACAGCACCCAGCAGGUACAUCAUCAAAAUCAGUGUAUUGAAAUUGAAUGCUACAGAGAAGGUUGCCAGAAUGAUCAGAAGUAUGAUCUAGCAGCCACAAGAGGAAAGACUGAAUCCACUAGAACUGCUACAUCCCUGCCUGGAAAAGACUGA
rnacentral:lncRNA from 1 species